rnacentral:lncRNA from 1 species
CACUUUGUACUUUAAACCCAAUCGAGUUAGUUUUGUACCGAUGCAUUGAGCUUGUUGAAGAUCAGCUCAAGCAACAGUCUAUGUAACAGUCGUCAUCACCUGCAUAUUUGUGUUUCUAGUCAUUUACACCAUUUACGGUGAUACGAAUGCGAAGUAAUACGAGAAUUUGUCUUGCUACCGGUUGUAUAAACAUAAUUAGAGAGAUAGGCACAAGGAGAUGUACAACUGGGGAUUGCUAAGAUCCCUCAAGUUUCACAACCAAGCAUCUUUAUUCCGAUUUUGAAAUUACGAUUGCUACUUGAAAGAACAUGCGAUCUAUCUGAGUAUGUAAUUUUAAUGAUCUGUUGUAUGAAUUUUUUUAAGGGUAAUAAAUAUUUCACCAUUAAUCAAAUAGAAUGAGAGACAUCAUCGAUGACGAAAAGGAUUUCACGAUUGCAAAUGCAACAAAAAGACAAUUCAAAACCUAACCACUUCGAACCAAACGUAAACAUGCUCUCGACAAGAUCUUACAUCACUUUCUUAUGAACUUGCAAAACAUAAUGCUCUUUUGGCAAAGAAGCCUUAUGAGACAUCAUGAAGAUAUCCUCAUGGUCCUUUGCCCGGCGAACAAAAAUAAAACCACAACCAAAACAAAACAAAAAUAUGACAACACAAAAUAAACUAUGAUCCCUCAACGAUGGGAGACCCACACCUAAGUUCCGAACCAACAGGAAAGAUAAGCUCACAAGGCCUAAACUCUAUGAGCCAGACCCGACAUCGUCAAGACACACAAGGUAAUUAGCAUACCGUCAUUGAAGACCAUACAACGACAAGCAAACAUGACUGUGAAUCCCUCAAACAAUUGCAAUGCUCCACAAGGGAAAGACCACACCACUCAUUAAUGAUGUUGCAAUCGUUGGCAAAAAACCUACUAUGAGUCACCUACAACAAACGUCGAGUUUCCUUAGCGUAAUCCUUGACAAGCUCACUAACCACAAAAUUACCACCUCAAAUUUAAACAACAAUCGUCGCUUUAAAAUUCAGGUUGAGCAGUAAGUCAUAACCGUUGCAAAAGCUUUCCUCAAAUGGAGAGUGACCACAUGUCCAUAAUAAC